rnacentral:snRNA from 1 species
AGCUUUGCGCAGUGGCAGUAUCGUAGCCAAUGAGGUUUAUCCGAGGCGCGAUUAUUGCUAAUUGAUUUAUUUCACAUAGCAUGACACCCUUUAGGUCCAUCCAUAUUGUCACAAAUGGCAAGGUCUCAUUCAUUUUUUUAUG